rnacentral:rRNA from 1 species
GAUAAGGCAUGCUAGUCGAGUGACUCAGGCAAAACGAGUCACGGCACACAGCUCAGUAACACGUGGCUAAUCUGCCCUUGAGACGAGAACAACCCCGGGAAACUGGGGCUAACUCUCGAUAAGCGAAGAACUCUGGAAUGAGUCUUCACCCAAAAAACUUCACGUUACCCUCGUGAAGUCGCUCAAGGAUGAGGCCGCGACCGAUCAGGUUGUUGGCGAGGUAACGGCUCACCAAGCCUUUUACCGGUGCGGGCCGUGGGAGCGGGAGCCCGGAGAUGGGUACUGAGACAAGGACCCAGGCCCUACGGGGCGCAGCAGUCGCGAAAACUUUGCAAUAAGCGCAAGCUUGACAGGGCUAUCCCGAGUGCCAUCCGCUGAGGAAGGCUUUUACCAGUCUAGAACGCUGGGAGAAUAAGGAGAGGGCAAGUCUGGUGUCAGCCGCCGCGGUAUACCAGCUCUCCGAGUGGUGUGGAUG